UGGGGAAUUGUUCGCAAUGGGCGCAAGCCUGACGACGCAACGCCGCGUGGAGGAUGAAGAUCUUCGGGUCGUAAACUCCUGUCGAGCGGGACGAACGGCCCGGGGCCCAACAGGCCUCGGGAGUGACGGUACCGCUAAAGGAAGCCCCGGCUAACUCCGUGCCAGCAGCCGCGGUAAUACGGGGGGGGCAAGCGGUGUUCGGAAUUACUGGGCGUAAAGGGCGCGUAGGCGGCCUUCUAAGUCAGACGUGAAAUCCCUCGGCUCAACCGGGGAACUGCGUCUGAUACUGGAGGGCUUGAAUCCGGGAGAGGGAUGCGGAAUUCCAGGUGUAGCGGUGAAAUGCGUAGAUAUCUGGAGGAACACCGGUGGCGAAGGCGGCAUCCUGGACCGGCAUUGACGCUGAGGCGCGAAAGCCAGGGGAGCAAACG
rnacentral:rRNA from 1 species